AGCGUUGUCCGGAUUUACUGGGUGUAAAGGGUGCGCAGGCGGACUGGUAAGUCAGAGGUGAAAUCUCGUCGCUUAACGACGAAACUGCCUUUGAUACUAUCAGUCUUGAAUCCGGUAGAGAUCUGUGGAAUUCCGAGUGUAGCAGUGAAAUGUGUAGAUAUUCGGAAGAACACCAGUGGCGAAGGCAGCAGAUUGGGCCGGUAUUGACGCUCAGGCACGAAAGCAUGGGGAUCAAACAGGAUUAGAGACCCUGGUAGUCCAUGCCCUAAACGAUGUUCACUUGAUGUCUGCCCUCAGGGUAGGUGUCGAAGCUAACGCGAUAAGUGAACCACCUGGGGAGUACGCUCGCAAGGGUG
rnacentral:rRNA from 1 species